GGCAUAUGGAGGUUCCCAGGCUAGGGGUUGAAUCAAAGCUGUUGCUGCCAGCCUACACCACAGCCACAGCAACGUGGGAUCUGAGGUGCAUCUGCGACCUACAGCACAGCUCACGGCAACGCCAGAUCCUUAACCCACUGAGCAAGGGCAGGGACCGAACCCGCAACCCCAUGGUUCCUAGUCGGAUUCGUUAACCACUGCGCCACGACGGGUACUCCAGAAGUUUCUUGCUUUCCAAAACCAACAACAAAAAUUUCCUCCAGGUCUUUACCAGAAAGGGGGGGGGGGUGCAUUCUCUAGCCUGGUGGAUGAUCUAGUGAUUGAAUAAAGGUGGCCCCACUUGGAAAUACAAUUAUUAUUAUUUUUUUUGUCUUUUUAGGGCCGCACUCUCGGCAUAGGGAACUUCCCAGGCUAGGGGUCGAAUUGGAGCUACAGCUGCCGGCCUACACCACAGCCACAGCAACCCUGGGAUCCUCCAUAUGCCACGGGUGUGGCCCUAGAAAAGGCAAAAAGACAAAAAAAGAAAAAAAAAAAAGACCUUCUUCCCCAGCCCCUAGCCAAGGCAGUGCCGGAAGCAGAGUGCAGCUGCCUCGUGCCAACUGCAUGUGUCUUCUUUUCCUCUGCAUCUGCGCCAGGCGUGCUGUCCAUCGCCCAGCUGCUGGGCCCCAGUGUGCCUGGCCAUGCACACCCCCACAUGGUGGAAUAGAAGGACUAGAGCUCAACUUCUCUCCUUAAAACAACAAAAUUCAUAACUAAAGGCUGAGCAAUCUUCACCCAAAUGGACCGGAAACCUUAACAAAGAUAUCCUACUCCAGAAGAAAAAGAGGAGGCCACAUCUAGAGGUAGGAGGGGUGACUUCACGAUAUAAACAACCCCAUACCUCCCAGGAGGGAAGCCCCACAGACUGGAAACUAACUGGUUCACAGAGACUCACCUACAGGAGUGAGCGUUCUGAGCCACACGUCAAACUCUCAUGUGUGGGGAUCUGGCACUGGGAGAAAGAGCCCCUGGAGCAUCUGGCACUAAAGGCCAGUGGGGCUUGUGCACAGGUGCUCCAAGGGACUGGAGGAAAUGGAGACCUCAUUCUUAAAAGGUGCACACAGACGUUCACCUGCACUGGGUCCCAGGGCAAAGCAAAGUC
rnacentral:lncRNA from 1 species